GAUGAACGCUGGCGGCGUGCCUAAUACAUGCAAGUCGAGCGAACAGACGAGGAGCUUGCUCCUCUGACGUUAGCGGCGGACGGGUGAGUAACACGUGGAUAACCUACCUAUAAGACUGGGAUAACUUCGGGAAACCGGAGCUAAUACCGGAUAAUAUAUUGAACCGCAUGGUUCAAUAGUGAAAGACGGUUUUGCUGUCACUUAUAGAUGGAUCCGCGCCGCAUUAGCUAGUUGGUAAGGUAACGGCUUACCAAGGCAACGAUGCGUAGCCGACCUGAGAGGGUGAUCGGCCACACUGGAACUGAGACACGGUCCAGACUCCUACGGGAGGCAGCAGUAGGGAAUCUUCCGCAAUGGGCGAAAGCUUGACGGAGCAACGCCGCGUGAGUGAUGAAGGUCUUCGGAUCGUAAAACUCUGUUAUUAGGGAAGAACAAAUGUGUAAAUAACUAUGCACGUCUUGACGGUACCUAAUCAGAAAGCCACGGCUAACUACGUG
rnacentral:rRNA from 1 species